ensembl:snoRNA
CUGCAUGCAGUGGGGGGGGUUUCCCCCCACAAAUAACACUCUGUCUCCACAUAAUGAGAUGAAAGAGUAAGAAAGCAUGCUAUAAGAAUCUGGAGUUAACAGGGCCACCAGUCUCUCAAGAACAGGCUGUGUCGGUAGUAUAAUACUCCUACAUUA